GGAAAGCUAGCUCAGUUGGUUCAGAGCACUACCUUGACAGGGUAGGGGUCAGGGGUUCGAGUCCCUUGCUUUUCA
rnacentral:tRNA from 1 species